rnacentral:tRNA from 1 species
AAGAUUUUAAGUUAAAAAAACUCUUUACCUUCAAAGUAUAAAUUAAAUAAUUAUUUAAAUCUUA